AUUGAACGCUGGCGGCAGGCCUAACACAUGCAAGUCGAGCGGAUGAAGGGAGCUUGCUCCUGGAUUCAGCGGCGGACGGGUGAGUAAUGCCUAGGAAUCUGCCUGGUAGUGGGGGAUAACGUCCGGAAACGGGCGCUAAUACCGCAUACGUCCUGAGGGAGAAAGUGGGGGUUCUUCGGACCUCAUGCUAUCAGAUGAGCCUAGGUCGGAUUAGCUAGUUGGUGGGGUAAAGGCCUACCAAGGCGACGAUCCGUAACUGGUCUGAGAGGAUGAUCAGUCACACUGGAACUGAGACACGGUCCAGACUCCUACGGGAGGCAGCAGUGGGGAAUAUUGGACAAUGGGCGAAAGCCUGAUCCAGCCAUGCCGAGUGUGUGAAGAAGGUCUUCGGAUUGUAAAGCACUUUAAGUUGGGAGGAAGGGCAGUAAGUUAAUACCUUGCUGUUUUGACGUUACCAACAGAAUAAGCACCGGCUAACUUCGUG
rnacentral:rRNA from 1 species